GCAAUAACUGACCGGAGGCUGUUAAUCUUCCUCUUAUCUGUAACUUCUCAGCAUCUCCUAACCUCUCUGCCUCAGCUUGCUUGCCCAUCACCUCCUGGAUACACUGUAACUUCUCAGAAUUCAGAGGGGAACAAUUCUAAAAACUCAGGGGUCAGAUUUUCACUUACACCUGGCAGAAUUUGAACUCUUCUGAGUUAGAAGGAUCAUGGGAGUAAAGAACAGGUGUGCUUCAAGGACCGCCAUAUGCCGUGUACACCUUUGUACUUGUACAGACGUGUGCAUGUGAAACACGCUUUAAAUCAAUGUGUGUGUGGUCAAGCUGGGUGAACCCACUAGCAUGGCAAAGGAACUCUCUGCAUGGGUGGCCUUGCUUGGGAGGAAGCCAGAGAGCGUGUGGCUGAGGUUCAAAUGAAGCAGUCAUUCUGUCUUUCUAGUCAGCUCCAUACCAUCUCCACAGGAGAAGGGAGGCAGCAGCUACAGCUGUUCUCCACUCACCUCCAGGUUUCUGGGCUCCACAACUGGCGUGGUUAUCAAUGACUUGUCUGUUGGAUCUGGAUCUGGGGCAGCAGCUCAGUGGUAGAAUGCUUGCCUCGUAUGUGCAAGGGCUUGGGUUCAGCACUAAAGAAAGAAAGUCUUUCACUGGUUCACCUAGAUGCAAGUUGCCUCUGAGCCCUGCAUAAGGGAGGCAGCCAUCUGUGUUCUGAGAGGACCCCUAGAUCUUGGGGGAGAUCAUUCCACAACACCAUUUGUAUUGUUCUAACAGGAGCUGAGUUAGGCAUGGUGGCAUACACCUACAAUCUCAGCACUCAGGAAACUGAGGCAGGAGGCUGGCUAUGUGUUCAGGGCCAGCCUGGGAUACAGAGUGAGUCUGUCCCAAAAAACUUAACCUUCAUUAAUUAGAGUUCUAGAGAUGCUCAACCUUUCAGAGCACUGGCUGCUCUUCAGAGGACUUGUGUUCAGUUCUAGACACCCACAUGGCAGUUCACAGACUGUGUCUGACACCCGAUUCUGGCCCCUCCAGGCACCAGGCACGAACAUAGAGCACGGGCAUACAUGCAGGUACAACACCCACACCAAACCAUAAAUAAAAGAAUUGUAGCUGCUGCCUACCUAGAGCCUACAAGCCUCUCUCUGGUAACAGUCUGCCAGGUAAUAGGUUAUCAUCCUGGUGCAGGAGAUCCCACUGGACAUGAAGAGGUUAUCUGCACAGGAAGCUGUAUUUUGGGCAUGCAGUGAACUAACUUACUUACUUUCUUUCUUUCUUUCUUCCUUUCUUUCUCUCUCUCUCUUUCUUUCUUUUCUUUCUGCUCUUUCUUUUUAAUUAAAAAUGUUAGUAACACGUUUUACUCAUUUCCUCCGUUGCUGAGAUUCUGUUCCUUGUAUUUCUAAACUUGGAGAGGAGACCAAACCUGUAGUGUGGUGCAGUGAGCACACCCGUGCCUGUGACUUCUACCUCCAGCACAGCCAAGCCUGAUACCUCACACACACGAAAAAGCGAGAAGGAAGACCAGAGGGGUCUUCAGGGGCUAAAGUUUUUCCAUUGUUUUCUGUAUUUUAAAACAAUACUGUAUCUAACCAAAGCUGUGAAAGGAAUGUUCUCUUUGGCCAAGUGGCAUGGUCCCCUUUCCCUGGAUUUUAUUCUACUUUGUCAGCUCAGACCCAUAAAUGUUGUUUGAAAAAGAAAAUGUGAAAUUCUACUACUUUUUAUACUAAUUCAGUCUUAUUAAAAGCAUUGAGUAUUUCAGCAUGGUCAUAGACAUGCUCGUUAAGAUCUGAACAAGAUGGUAUUUAUGCGGAAAUUGAAAUGUCCUGGCAGAUCCUAGGCGCUCCUUCACAGCUCACGCGACUCUGCUGUGGUAUCACUGGGCCAGCUCAUGGCCAGGGCUCACACAAGUCAUAUGCUAGGCUAGAAUUUCUCCGUAUACUAGCAUGCCUUUCUGAAAAUAAAUUUUUUUCCUAAUUUUC
rnacentral:lncRNA from 1 species